rnacentral:rRNA from 1 species
UACAGAGGUCUCAAGCGUUGUUCGGAUUCAUUGGGCGUAAAGGGUGCGUAGGUGGCGGGGUAAGUCAGGUGUGAAAUCUCGGGGCUCAACCCCGAAACUGCACUUGAUACUGCCUUGCUCGAGUACUGGAGAGGAGAUUGGAAUUUACGGUGUAGCAGUGAAAUGCGUAGAUAUCGUAAGGAAGACCAGUGGCGAAGGCGAAUCUCUGGACAGUUACUGACACUGAGGCACGAAGGCCAGGGGAGCAAACGGGG